rnacentral:rRNA from 1 species
CUGACGCCUGCCCAGUGCUGGAAGGUUAAGAUGAUUUGUUAGCUGGACGUAAGUCGAUAACAGCGAAGCUUUGAUUUGAAGCCCCAGUGAACGGCGGCCGUAACUAUAACGGUCCUAAGGUAGCGAAAUUCCUUGUCAGGUAAGUUCUGACCCGCACGAAAGGCGUAAUGAUCUGGGAGCUGUCUCGACCAUAGACUCGGUGAAAUCUUAAUACCUGUGAAAAUGCAGGUUACCCGCGAUAGGACGGAAAGACCCCAUGGAGCUUUACUGUAGCUUGAUAUUGGAAUCAGAUAAUUUUUGUAGAGGAUAGGUGGUAGGCUUUGAAGUGUAGACGCCAGUUUACAUGGAGCCACCCUUGGAAUACCACCCUGAAGUUGUUUGAUUUCUAACUCGCACCCAUUAUCUGGGUGGAGGACAGUGUCUGGUGGGCAGUUUGACUGGGGCGGUCGCCUCCCAAAAAGUAACGGAGGCGCCCAAAGGUUCCCUCAGCAUGGAUGGAAAUCAUGCGAAGAGUGUAAUAGUAUAAGGGAGCUUGACUGUGAGACUUACAAGUCGAGCAGGUACGAAAGUAGGGUAUAGUGAUCAGGCGGUUGAAUAUGGAAUUGCCGUCGCUUAACGGAUAAAAGUUACCCUGGGGAUAACAGGCUGAUACCACCCAAUAGUUCACAUAGACGGUGGUGAUUGGCACCUCGAUGUCGGCUCGUCACAUCCUGGAGGUGGAUUCGCUUCCAAGGGUUGGGCUGUUCGCCCAUUAAAGUGGCACGCGAGCUGGGUUCAGAACGUCGCGAGACAGUUCGGUCCCUAUCCAUCGUGGGCGUAGGAAAAUUGAGAAGGGCUGUUCCUAGUACGAGAGGACCGGAAUGGACAUACCUCUGGUGUAUCUGUUGUAACGCCAGUUGCAGUGCAGAGUAGCUAUGUAUGGAAGGGAUAAUCGCUGAGAGCAUCUAAGCGAGAAGCCCUCUUCAAGAUGAGUUUUCCCAUAUUUUAUAUAGUAAGAUCCCUUGUAGACUACGAGGUUGAUAGGCUAGAGGUGGAAGCGUAGUGAUACGUUGAGCUGACUAGUACUAAUAGAUCGAGGAUUUAAUCAU